rnacentral:tRNA from 1 species
UUUGAGUCUUUGUGUGCAGGUUCAAGUCCUGUUCUUCUAA